GGUGCUGUGGCGCAGUGGGUUAACGUCCUGGCCUGAGGCGCCAGCAUCCCAUGUGGAUGCUGGUUCGAGACCGGGCUGCUCCA
rnacentral:tRNA from 1 species